rnacentral:lncRNA from 1 species
AACCAUUCCAGAUGACCCUGGCCAUUAGCAGCAGGCUAUUAACGCAGCACUGAGAUUCUGUUGGUGUACUUCUCUGCCAUGAGAGUUCUCUAACUCUCUCUGCUAACUUCAGAGUUCCUAUAUGCACACUGGCUUCCCUCUAGCCAUCUCCAAGCUGAAGAAAGAUGUCACUACCUCCACCAACUUGUAGGAAGAGAAUUGAAUGUGAGUGGCCUGCCUUGGAAAUUACUCUUCUGCCUAGAUAGCUGGGAUUUGAUGCCUUCGUCAUUCAGAGAAAAUGCAACAAUUAAGGUUUGCCACCCAGGAGAUUUGGAUUUCUUCUUUCUAUUGCAGUGAAUAUCCUGUAAUUUUUCAGCCAAUUCCAAAAAAUGGAUUGAACAAAUGAGUUGACAAAGUACUAUAAUAAGAAAACCAUGAACUCACGGUCCUUUUAGUACAAAUUGAACAGUGCUUCAAUCAGCAGAAACAAAACUUCUCCCUGACUUAGAACUGCCCCUUCCCUGCAUACAGAUGGCCAGUUCAUGUAUUUAGGGGAUACUUGUUUAUUUUCCUGUUCUCCAGAAUGUCCUUAAGAGACUGACUCUUGUCUUCCCCAAGUGCCUGUGGCCAGAGGUGACAACACAAGGAAGAAUCCCCAAAGAAGCAUCCUGUCAGUGCAGACACUGCCUCGUUCUUCAGGAGAGCUAAUUGGGGAGGGACCAAGUCAAAUCUGUCACCUCCUGAAAAUAAUCUUUCCAGAAGAGAGUCUAUGCUUACUACAUUCCUCCUGAAAAGGAGAUUUUUGUCUUUGUAAUAUAUUUUAGCACCUCUGAACCACUUUACAAAGAGUACACAAAUAAAAAGAAAUGUUUUCUCCA